UUUUGGCUUUCUGUAACACGCCAUUAUUGGGCGAAUACAAACUUAUCACUUUAAUAUUUUUCUUUCCACAGUCACGAAAGAAAUGCUAUUCUGCACUCCCAAGAAUACACUGAAGUGGAAACCGACGAUGCUACAAAACAUCCUUCAACUCCUAGGGAUGGUGACGUGCAUGUGACAGAGCACUUUAGUCAUUUUAGCGACGAUUUAAAAUUUCCUGUUGAUCAGCUCAUGCGCCUAAGUUCUACACCCACAAGAAAGAAUGGAGACCCAAGUAACGUAGGCGCAACAGGAUCUGAUGGAUCGAUAUUGUUGGAUAUGGACACUUGUCAAAUAAACGUUAUUGAAAGUGCAUAUACCGAGCCUAGUGCAGCAAACGAUUCUUUAGCGAGUCAGGAAGUUUCUCGUUAUUUGCUGCCAAGUUCUACACCCACAAGAAAGAAUGGAGACCCAAGUAACGUAGGCGCAACAGGAUCUGAUGGAUCGAUAUUGUUGGAUAUGGACACUUGUCAAAUAAACGUUAUUGAAAGUGCAUAUACCGAGCCUAGUGCAGCAAACGAUUCUUUAGCGAGUCAGGAAGUUUCUCGUUAUUUGCUGCCGUAAGUACAACAUAUUUCUGUAUUUUACAUAUGCUUCUUUAUACAGGGCAUAUUUCAGUUACUAUUAGCGAAAAGAAAUGUCUACAGUGUCUUGUUUUUGCUACUGUUACUGUAAGGUAAUGUCAAAUAGCUGUUACAUGAGCGAAAACUCUCUUUUGCGUCAAAUACAUUUCACAUACAAUGGUGGGUUUAUAUAAUUCAUCUUUACGCAAAUACAUGCUAUCAUUUUUCAGAAGUUCUACACCCACAAGAAAGAAUGGAGACCCAAGUAACGUAGCCGCAACAGGAUCUGAUGGAUCGAUAUUGUUGGAUAUGGACACUUGUCAAAUAAACGUUAUUGAAAGUGCAUAUACCGAGCCUAGUGCAGCAAACGAUCCUUCGCUUACACAUGAAGUUCCUCUUUCACCACUGCCGUAAGUAGAGAACGUGUUACUGCGUUUAAUUUUUCUGGUUGUUGAUAAGUAUAAAUCUCUAACAAGAGAGAUUUAAAAUAUUGCAAUGGAGCAGUAUUUCAUUCUAUUUAAUUAAGUUUUAUAUAAGAGUUUGAUAAUUGUGGUACAAUUAACUCUUGUAGAAACAUAUCAUUUGCUCAAAUAGAUGUGUGAAACAUGCCUCGUGGGCCUAUGCUGCUUGAAUAUUUUUGUUUCCAAAAUUAUUAUUAAUUGGUAAAUAAACAUUAAUGAAUACCAAUCAUUUUUGGCAUUUCCGGAACAAAUUCUGGAAUACCAUGCGCUUAUAUUAUGUCGAACUAUGGUCGAAUAGAAUUUAGGCUACAAUGGAAACCAUAGUGUAGCCUACUUAAAUUUUUCUCCUUGACAACCGUUUCUUGUGAAGUGCUCCGUUUUCGAUUGAAAUCAUUUUAUUUUUAUAAGUGUUUCCAAAACGAAUUUCGGAAAAAGAAGUAGAAACAAUGGGUGUAUUUUUUUAGUGAAUUUUAAAUUAUUAAAGAUAAAGUUGAUUUUCUUUAAUUUAAGUCUUCCCAUGUAGGUUGUAAGAAGCGUUUACUAUUUAUUAUAUUAAUUGUUAGGGUUUUUUAGUCAUUGCAUUGUAAAAAAUUAAGUGGAUUUCGUUGGAUUUUGGAUAUGGUAAUCCACAAAUAUUUAUUUGAAUUUUUACUUUAUAAAAAUUUUUUAUAUUUUCCC